rnacentral:rRNA from 1 species
AUUGAACGCUAGCGGGAUGCUUUACACAUGCAAGUCGAACGAAUGGGGGACGCGUGAGUAAUUGAUCGGAAAGGGCCCAGUGGCGGGGGAUAACUAGUCUGACGAGUGGCUAAUACCGCAGACUCGUGUAUCGGCCGAUAUCGGAUUAGCUAGUUGGUGGGGUAAAGGCUCACCAAGGCAACGAUCCGUAGCUGGUUUGAGAGGACGACCAGCCACACUGGGACUGAGACACGGCCCAGACUCCUACGGGAGGCAGCAGUGGGGAAUUUUGGACAAUGGGGGAAACCCUGAUCCAGCAAUCCCGCGUGUAUGAGAAGGCCUUCGGGUUGUAAAGUACUUUUGGCAGAGAAGCGGUAUCUGCAGAAUACGCACCGGCUAACUACGUGCCAGCCGCCGCGGUAAUUC